UAAGUGAAGAGUUUGAUCCUGGCUCAGAGUGAACGCUGGCGGCAGGCCUAACACAUGCAAGUCGAACGGCAGCACAGUAAGAGCUUGCUCUUAUGGGUGGCGAGUGGCGGACGGGUGAGGAAUACAUCGGAAUCUACUCUUUCGUGGGGGAUAACGUAGGGAAACUUACGCUAAUACCGCAUACGACCUA
rnacentral:rRNA from 1 species